AAGAUUAUACUUUCAGGGAUCUUUUUUUUUUUUUUAUAGGUAAUGAUUGGAGAAAUGUGCUUGAAAGUAUUCAAACUCACCAACCACCAUGAUGAGUUUAAGAGCUCUCUUCUCAGUCUGAAGGCAGUUAACAACUCUGUUUCAUGCAGAUGUUGUUAGCUUUUGAUGACUGUCCUACUUCUUAAUAAAGAAGAGGUAGAAUAGGUCUCAUUCAGAGUGAC